GCUCAUUAUAUCAGUUAUAGUUUAUUAGAAAUACUUUACUACUUGGAUAACCGUAGUAAUUCUAGGGCUAAUACAUGAAUGAAUCCUCAACUUCGGAAGAGGUGUGUUUAUUAGUAUGAAAACCAUCUAUCUUCGGAUAGUAUCGUGAGUAAUAAUAACCUUUCGUAUCGUAUGUCUUUGGAUAACGAUAGUUCUUUCAAGUUUCUGCCCUAUCAGCUUUCGAUGGUAGUAUAUGGGACUACCAUGGCAGUAACGGGUAACGAAGAAUUUGGGUUCGAUUUCGGAGAGGGAGCCUGAGAGAUGGCUACCACAUCCAAGGAAGGCAGCAGGCGCGUAAAUUACCCAAUCCUGACAUAGGGAGGUAGUGACAAUAAAUCACAAUGCGGAACUUUUUAGUUUUGCAAUUGGAUUGAGAACAAUGUACAAAUGUUAUCGAUAAAC
rnacentral:rRNA from 1 species